UGAGAGGUUGAUCGGCCACAUUGGGACUGAGACACGGCCCAAACUCCUACGGGAGGCAGCAGUAGGGAAUCUUCCACAAUGGGCGAAAGCCUGAUGGAGCAACGCCGCGUGGGUGAAGAAGGUCUUCGGAUCGUAAAACCCUGUUGUUAGAGAAGAAAGUGCGUGAGAGUAACUGUUCACGUUUCGACGGUAUCUAACCAGAAAGCCACGGCUAACUACGUGCCAGCAGCCGCGGUAAUACGUAGGUGGCAAGCGUUAUCCGGAUUUAUUGGGCGUAAAGGGAACGCAGGCGGUCUUUUAAGUCUGAUGUGAAAGCCUUCGGCUUAACCGGAGUAGUGCAUUGGAAACUGGGAGACUUGAGUGCAGAAGAGGAGAGUGGAACUCCAUGUGUAGCGGUGAAAUGCGUAGAUAUAUGGAAGAACACCAGUGGCGAAAGCGGCUCUCUGGUCUGUAACUGACGCUGAGGUUCGAAAGCGUGGGUAGCAAACAGGAUUAGAUACCCUGGUAGUCCACGCCGUAAACGAUGAAUGCUAAGUGUUGGAGGGUUUCCGCCCUUCAGUGCUGCAGCUAACGCAAUAAGCAUUCCGCCUGGGGAGUACGACCGCAAGGUUGAAACUCAAAGGAAUUGACGGGGGCCCGCACAAGCGGUGGAG
rnacentral:rRNA from 1 species